UGCGUAGGCUGUGUUGUAAGUCAGAUGUGAAAAACCAAAGCUCAACUUUGGCAGUGCAUCUGAAACUGCAGCACUCGAGGGACAGCGGAGAAAACGGAAUUCCACGUGUAGCGGUGAAAUGCGUAGAUAUGUGGAAGAACACCUGUGGCGAAAGCGGUUUCUAGCUUAAUCCUGACGCUGAGGCACGAAAGCAAGGGGAGCAAACA
rnacentral:rRNA from 1 species